UACGUAGGGGGCUAGCGUUGUCCGGAAUCAUUGGGCGUAAAGAGCGCGUAGGCGGCCAGAUAAGUCCGGUGUGAAAGUCACAGGCUCAACCUGUGAAUGCCGCUGGAAACUGUCUGGCUAGAGUCCGGGAGGGGCGAGUGGAAUUCCUGGUGUAGCGGUGAAAUGCGCAGAUAUCAGGAGGAACACCAGCGGCGAAGGCGGCUCUCUGGGACGGUACUGACGCUGAGACGCGAAAGCGUGGGGAGCAAACAGG
rnacentral:rRNA from 1 species